GCAAGUCGCACGAGAACUUCUACCUUCGGGUGGAUUAGUAAAGUGGCGCACGGGUGAGUAACGCGUGGAUAAUCUGCCUUCAAGUAGGGAAUAACAUUGCGAAAGCGAUGCUAAUACCGUAUAAGCUCACGAUUUGAAUAGUUGUGGGAAAAGAUGGCCUAGUCUAUGCUAUCGCUUGAAGAUGAGUCCGCGUACCAUUAGCUUGUUGGUAGGGUAAUGGCCUACCAAGGCUUCGAUGGUUAGCUGGCCUGAGAGGGCGGCC
rnacentral:rRNA from 1 species